rnacentral:rRNA from 1 species
GACGGGGCCCGCACAAGCGGUGGAGCAUGUGGUUAAUCGAAGCAACGCGAAGAACCUUACCAGGUCUGACAUCCCUGACAACCCGAGAGAUCGGGCGUUCCCCCUUCGGGGGGACAGGGUGACAGGUGGUGCAUGGUUGUCGUCAGCUCGUGUCGUGAGAUGUUGGGUUAAGUCCCGCAACGAGCGCAACCCUUGCCAUUAGUUGCUACGAAAGGGCACUCUAAUGGGACUGCCGGUGACAAACCGGAGGAAGGUGGGGAUGACGUCAAGUCCUCAUGGCCCUUAUAGGUGGGGCUACACACGUCAUACAAUGGCCGGUACAGAGGGUAGCCAACCCGCGAGGGGGAGCCAAUCCCACAAAGCCGGUCGUAGUCCGGAUCGUAGUCUGCAACUCGACUACGUGAAGUCGGAAUCGCUAGUAAUCGUGGAUCAGAAUGUCACGGUGAAUACGUUCCCGGGUCUU